rnacentral:rRNA from 1 species
UACGGGGGGGGGAAGCGUUGUUCGGAAUUACUGGGCGUAAAGCGCGCGUAGGCGGCUUUGUAAGUUAGAGGUGAAAGCCCGGGGCUCAACCCCGGAACUGCCUUUAAGACUGCAUCGCUUGAAUCCAGGAGAGGUGAGUGGAAUUCCGAGUGUAGAGGUGAAAUUCGUAGAUAUUCGGAAGAACACCAGUGGCGAAGGCGGCUCACUGGACUGGUAUUGACGCUGAGGUGCGAAAGCGUGGGGAGCAAACAGG